UCUUUAAGCGGCACACACACCUCAUGCCAGAAUGCUGAAAUACGGAUUAUCUGGGCAUGUUUUCACUGAGAAAGGCAGAGCAAAUGAUGGAGGAGAGAGAGUAAAACAUAAAGGAGAAAUACAGAGGCAAAUAGCAUGUCCGGAAUUGGUGGGUUCUUGGUCUGACUUCAAGAAUGAAGCCACAGACCCUCGCAGUGAGUGUUACAGUUCUUAAAGGUGGCGUGUCCAGAGUUUGUUCCCUCUGAAGUUCAGAUGUGUUCCGAGUUUCUUCCUUCUGGUGGGUUCAUGGUCUCGCUGGCUCCGGAGUGAAGCUGCAGACCUUCGCGGUGAGUGUUACAACUCUUAAGGCAGCGCGUCUGGAGCUGUUCGUUCCUCCCGGUGGGUUCAUGGUCUCACUGGCUUCACGAGUGAAGCUGCAGACCUUCUCAGUGAGUGUUACAGCUCAUAAAGACAGUACGAACCCAAAGAGUGAGCAGUAGCAAGAAUUAUUGCAAAGAGCAAAAGAACAAAGCAACCCCACUGCAGAAUGUAAACUCAGCAGGUUGCCACUGCUGGCUCAGGCAGCCAGCUUUUAUUCUCUUAUCUGGCCCCACCCACAUCCUGCUGAUUGGUCCAUUUUACAGAGAGCUGAUUGGUCUGUUUUACAGAGAGCUGAUUGGUCCGUUUUGACAGGGUGCUGAUUGGUGCAUUUAAAAAAAUCCCUGAGCUAGAUACGAAGUGCCGAUUGGUGCAUUCACAAUCCCUUAGCUAGACAUAAA
rnacentral:lncRNA from 1 species